rnacentral:rRNA from 1 species
CCUACGGGAGGCAGCAGUGGGGAAUAUUGGACAAUGGGCGAAAGCCUGAUCCAGCAAUGCCGCGUGAGUGAUGAAGGCCUUAGGGUUGUAAAGCUCUUUUACCAGGGAUGAUAAUGACAGUACCUGGAGAAUAAGCUCCGGCUAACUCCGUGCCAGCAGCCGCGGUAAUACGGAGGGAGCUAGCGUUGUUCGGAAUUACUGGGCGUAAAGCGUGCGUAGGCGGUGACUCAAGUCAGAGGUGAAAGCCUGGAGCUCAACUCCAGAACUGCCUUUGAAACUAGGUCGCUAGAAUCAUGGAGAGGUGAGUGGAAUUCCGAGUGUAGAGGUGAAAUUCGUAGAUAUUCGGAAGAACACCAGUGGCGAAGGCGGCUCACUGGACAUGUAUUGACGCUGAGGCACGAAAGCGUGGGGAGCAAACAGGAUUAGAUACCCUGGUAGUCCACGCCGUAAACGAUGAUAACUAGCUGCCAGGGCUCAUGGAGCUUUGGUGGCGCAGCUAACGCAUUAAGUUAUCCGCCUGGGGAGUAACGGUCGCAAGAUUAAAACUUCAAAGGAAUUGAGG